UACGUAGGGUGCGAGCGUUAAUCGGAAUUACUGGGCGUAAAGCGUGCGCAGGUGGCUGUGCAAGCCAGGCGUGAAAUCCCCGGGCUCAACCUGGGAAUGGCGCUUGGGACUGCACGGCUAGAGUGCGGCAGAGGGAGCUGGAAUUCCUGGUGUAGCAGUGAAAUGCGUAGAGAUCAGGAGGAACACCGAUGGCGAAGGCAGGCUCCUGGGCCAGCACUGACACUCAUGCACGAAAGCGUGGGGAGCAAACAGG
rnacentral:rRNA from 1 species